rnacentral:rRNA from 1 species
GGCGAUCAGAUACCGCCCUAGUUCUGACCGUAAACGAUGCCAACUAGCGAUCCGCCGGCGGAUAUUUCGCCCUGGUGGGGAGCUUCCCGGAAACGAAAGUCUUCCGGUUCCGGGGGAAGUAUGGUUGCAAAGCUGAAACUUAAAGGAAUUGACGGAAGGGCACCACCAGGAGUGGAGCCUGCGGCUUAAUUUGACUCAACACGGGGAAACUCACCCGGCCCGGACACCGUAAGGAUUGACAGAUUGAUAGCUUUUUCAUGAUUCGGUGGAUGGUGGUGCAUGGCCGUUCUUAGUUCGUGGAGCGAUUUGUCUGGUUUAUUCCGAUAACGAGCGAGACUCUAGCCUACUAAAUAGUUCGCACAUUGUCAACUUGUGUGCGCUUACUUCUUAGAGGGAUUUUCGGUGUUCAGCCGCACGAGAUUGAGCAAUAACAGGUCUGUGAUGCCCUUAGAUGUCCGGGGCUGCACGCGCGCUACACUGGCAAAAUCAGCGUGCUUAUCCUUUCCCGAAAGGGAUUGGUAAACCAUUGAAAAUUUGCCGUGAUUGGGAUCGGAAAUUGCAAUUAUUUUCCGUGAACGAGGAAUUCCAAGUAAGUGCGAGUCAUCAACUCGCGUUGAUUACGUCCCUGCCCUUUGUA